rnacentral:rRNA from 1 species
AUUGAACGCUGGCGGCAGGCUUAACACAUGCAAGUCGCGCGGAGAGAAGUAGCUUGCUACUGAUCUUAGCGGCGGACGGGUGAGUAAUGCUUAGGAAUCUGCCUAUUAGUGGGGGACAACAUUCCGAAAGGAAUGCUAAUACCGCAUACGCCCUACGGGGGAAAGCAGGGGAUCUUCGGACCUUGCGCUACUAGAUGAGCAUAAGUCGGAUUAGCUAGUUCGUGGGGUGAAGGCCUACCAAGGAGACGAUCUGUAGCGGGUCUGAGAGGAUGAUCCGCCACACUGGGACUGAGACACGGCCCAUACUCCUACGGGAGGCAGCAGUGGGGAAUAUUGGACAAUGGGCGGAAGCCUGAUCCAGCCAUGCCGCGUGUGUGAAGAAGGCCUUUUGGUUGUAAAGCACUUUAAGCGAGGAGGAGGCUCUUAAGGUUAAUACCCUUGAUGAGUGGACGUUACUCGCAGAAUAAGCACCGGCUAACUCUGUGCCAGCAGCCGCCGUAA